CGAAUGCUGACAUAAGUAACGAUAAAGCGGGUGAAAAGCCCGCUCGCCGGAAGACCAAGGGUUCCUGUCCAACGUUAAUCGGGGCAGGGUGAGUCGACCCCUAAGGCGAGGCCGAAAGGCGUAGUCGAUGGGAAACAGGUUAAUAUUCCUGUACUUGGUGUUACUGCGAAGGGGGGACGGAGAAGGCUAUGUUGGCCGGGCGACGGUUGUCCCGGUUUAAGCGUGUAGGCUGGUUUUCCAGGCAAAUCCGGAAAAUCAAGGCUGAGGCGUGAUGACGAGGCACUACGGUGCUGAAGCAACAAAUGCCCUGCUUCCAGGAAAAGCCUCUAAGCAUCAGGUAACAUCAAAUCGUACCCCAAACCGACACAGGUGGUCAGGUAGAGAAUACCAAGGCGCUUGAGAGAACUCGGGUGAAGGAACUAGGCAAAAUGGUGCCGUAACUUCGGGAGAAGGCACGCUGAUAUGUAGGUGAAGCGACUUGCUCGUGGAGCUGAAAUCAGUCGAAGAUACCAGCUGGCUGCAACUGUUUAUUAAAAACACAGCACUGUGCAAACACGAAAGUGGACGUAUACGGUGUGACGCCUGCCCG
rnacentral:rRNA from 1 species